AUAGAAUUACAUGCGACGAUUGAUCACGUGGCACUCGAACCGAAGAAUUAAGAAACCAGUAACUUUUCACAUCAAGUAAAAUCAACUGAAGCCAUCGAUUCAAGUCUCGUUCCUUCAUCUUGCCUUCGAAACGAUCUAAAUUGAUCUCUCGUACAUUUUAUCAAAAUCGUGACCCACGAUUUUGAGAGAAACCGGAGACAGGUUCGAUUUUUCGCGAAUCGUGUCAAAAAUCGCACAUUUAAAUUUCGAUUAUACACGUUUCCAGAUCUUGUUAGCUUAUUCCACGGGACUGGCAAAGUUAUUUAAAUUAAAGAUCUUGUAGGUCAAAGAGGAGACAAUUAUUAACCCAAACUCAACAAAACUCGACAACUCAACAAAACUCGAUGAGAUCUGGCUCGAAACGAGGUUAUAAUCCACGAAUCGUCGUGAGUCGCGAUUUCGUAAUUCUUGCGUAUUAUCGAUUUCAUUCGAAACCAUAUUCGAGACGAUUCGCAUCCUUCUCAUCAGAGAAAUCGAUUUGAAUCGAUUGUCGAAAUCUGACAUUUUAAUCGAAACAGGAGCGAAGACUCGUCGGGACGUGUUUAUCAGCUGACUGCAGCUUGCACUUUGCUCCGUUUUUUAUCGUAUGAUCUAAUCAUUUUCUGCGACUCACCGUGAAGUGAAACGUGUCUCUCACAUUCAAGUUGAGGAUAGACAGCGAAAAUUGAUGAGAAAAAAUGUCGCUUUCCAAGCCGACCGAUAUCAUGUACAAUCUCAUGGGCGCGUACCUACAGCGGCUGUAUACCAGUCCCUUAAGAACUAAAGCUGUAACGAGUUGCAUUAUUGCUGCCCUUGGAAAUGUAGCAUCUCAGAAACUGUCCGGUGCCAAGCAGCUUAACGAAGACAGUGUCCUGGCCUAUGCUCUAUUUGGCUUGUUGUUUGGAGGGCCGGUACCCCAUUACUUUUACACAUACGUGCGAUUGUUCGUGAAGCACCCUUUGAGGAUACUUCUGAUAGAGAGACUCAUUUAUACACCGUGUUUUCAGGCACUCGCGCUCUACUUCCUUGCUAUCUUUGAGGGCAAGUCCCAUCCAGUGGCAUGCGCUCACUUGCAAAGAUUAUAUUUUCCGACACUGAUAGCUAAUCUGAAAUAUCUGACACUGUUCCACUUCAUCAAUAUAAAAUAUGUUCCACCAAUGUUGAGGGUCUUAAUGGCGAAUCUCAUCGGUUUCGUAUGGAUUAUCUAUAUUGCCAAUAAGAGAGCGAAAACUUCGAAAAAGAAGUAGAAGAACACGAAAACGUAUUGUAAUCAUUUGUUAUAUAUAUAUUUUUUUUGUUACCUAUACCAAAGUUUUAUAAUCAUAUUCGAUGAUUUUACGAUCUAAUAUUUAUAUCGAGAUAUGGAAGAUAUAAAACAAAACAUAGCGUGUUUAAGAUUUUCGAUUUAAUCACACAACAACAAUACAGAGUAUAUUACAGAUAUAAUAUCCGAAUUUUCUUUCACUUUAACGAGACAGUAACAUUCGAUGGCUGUAAAUCAUAAUUGUUGGUACAGACGUUAAGUUCAAAAAUUGCGACGAGUUCUACUUAAUGAUGAACUGACGCAGAGAUCAGGGCAUUUUGCUUUUUGAAAGUGAUUUCCUCGCAUGUCGUUUCUGACAUAAAAUUGAUAGUUUCGAAGACAUUUUCAGUAAUCAAGAUAACAACGGCAUGCGAAAGGUAUUAUUUCCGAGUUUACCCUUUUAGCAUUUCCAUAACUUCGCUGUAUAUUCGAAUAUAUGUAUUAUUUUAUUAUAUACGCGAAAACGAAUCUCAGGAAGGGAGCAAUCACAUCAUUGCACUGGAAAAAUUGUAAAAUGUAUCCGAACUACAUUAAUAUAGAGCUCAGUAAUGUUGAUCGAGCGGUCAUUGCGUAUAAAAUAUAAUUUUCAUAUAAUGUUAAUAAAAGUGUUUAAGAUUGUGUCAGAUUUUUUAGAAUAAAAAACUAUUCUUAAACUCA